CAGCCACAAGCCAUUGGCCAAAGAUCACAAAUAAUCCAUCCACAACUGCCUGGCAGUGAUACAUCUAGCUAGGAAGCAAAAAUGAGCGAAUCGGUGAAGGUGAUCGGCGCUUUCGACAGCCCGUUCAGCCACCGCGCGGAGGUCGCCCUGCGCCUCAAGGGAGUUCCCUACGAGCUUAUCCUUGAGGACCUGCACAACAAGAGCGAGCUGCUGCUUAUGCACAACCCCAUCCACAAGAAGGUGCCCGUGCUCCUCCAUGGCGACCGGGCCAUCCCCGAGUCGCUCGUCAUCAUCGAGUACGUCGACGAGGCCUUCGACGGCCCGACACUCCUGCCGGCCGACCCCUUCGACCGCGCCACCGCCCGCUUCUGGGCCCGCUUCGUCGACGACAAGUGCUCGACGCCGUUCUGGCUGUCUUUGUGGACGGAGGGCGAGGUGCAGAAGGGGUUCGUGAAGGAGAUCAAGGAGAACCUGGCGCUACUGGAGGGGCAGGUCAAGGGGAAGAGGUUCUUCGGGGGCCACACCGUCGGCUACCUCGACAUAGCUGCCAGUGGGUUCGCGCACUGGCUCUCGGUCUUCGAGGAGGUCGCCGGCGUGAGCCUGGUCACCGACGAGGAGUACCCUGAUCUGUGCCGAUGGGCAAAGGAGUACACCUCCCACGAGACCGUCAAGCAGUGCCUGCCGGACAGGGAGAAGCUGCUCGCCCAUUUUACCGCCAAGAAGGACUUUUUUGUGUCCACGGUCAAGUUAAUGGCGCCAAAAUGAUUCGGCUGCGGAUUAAAUAUGUGCCCGAACCGAAAAUGUCUAUGGAUGUGGAACUGCGUGCGUGGAUGACGUAUUGUAGCAAGCAGUUACGUAGAAGAAGAUAACAUGAGGCAAAGAUGAAGUCCUAGAUGUUGGAUUGAUAUCGGAUGGCUGUUGUUCAUCGUCUGAAGCAACCUUUGUGUUUCCAGCAUAUGAAAAAUAACAUCACCCAUAAAUAAAUGUCCAUUUGCCAAA